rnacentral:rRNA from 1 species
CAGCAGCCGCGGUAAUACGUAGGUGGCAAGCAUUGUCCGGAAUUAUUGGGCGUAAAGGGCUCGCAGGCGGUUUCUUAAGUCUGAUGUGAAAUCUUCAGGCUCAACUUGAAGUCUGCAUGGGAAACUGCGGGGCUGGAGUAUGGGAGAGGUGAGUGGAAUUCCUGGUGUAGCGGUGAAAUGCGUAGAUAUCGGAAGGAACACCUGUGGCGAAGGCGGCGACCUGGUCCUUUACUGACGCUGAGGCGCGAAAGCGUGGGGAGCAAACAGGAUUAGAUACCCGAGUAGUCCCUGUCUCUUAUAC